ACGCAGCUUUGCUAAGUGCUUGGCUUUACGGUUUUAAAGCACGAGUUACAAACUGACUCUUCUUGGGACCACCAGCCCGAAAGUAGAAACCUUGAAAGCUUCAUAAUGGCUUGCGGUUUCUGUGCGUUUAAAGUCCUACAGCAUGUAAUUAUUCUUUCCAAAUCACGCAGGCAGCUUUAAAGGCACAGAAGUCUCCGCAGCCCCGGAAUAGAAGAAUCACGCCAGGAAAAAGAGCCGCUUUCCUUCUUCUGCUUUUUAUGGCAGAAGAACUGUUCCGUGUCCGUGGUAUCUUUAGACUUAUUCCAACUACACUUGCCCCGCAUUCAGGGGAUACUCUUAGAAAUACGAUCAGGAAUCGGAAAUACGGCUCAAAAAUCAUUGGGAGCCUAACCCUUGCACCCAGCCUUCUCGCCUCUUCCAGUGUGACACCUCCCGGCUAAGGAAAUAUCGCGAGAUUCGGCGGCGAAGCGCGAAUGUCUGGGAGCAGAAUCGCAUCCUCUCGCUCCUUUACAACAGCCGGGAAAAGAAGAAUUCAGCCGUAUAUGACAUCGAGCAAGUCAGCAGUAACCUACAUGCACAGAUAUGGACAAGGCAGGGGAAAUAAUUUACUUUGAUGCAGAAGAUUGAAGGUGGCAAAAUAUUGGAGCUUCACCUGGAAGAAUGAGAUAAGCUGGUAAGAGAACAGCUGCCACAAAGCAUAGUAAGUACUACACAUUUAUUGCACUAUAAACUCUCACUCUGGAAAGGACCCAGAAUUGGAUCAACUUCAAUUUAUAACUCCACUUGGAAAAAUGGAGAAAUUGUCAGGCCCACAAAAGAAAAACAUAUUUUAUACUGAACAAGAAACAUGCAGGAAGAUGGCAGUCCCAAUAAGGUUACUAGCUGGCAUAGAACACUGGCUCAUAUCGCAUAUUCAGAUGGUAAACUGGCUCUUUGAAUGCAAAAUAAAUUUAUAUGGGAGCAGAAGUGUUCCUUCAAAUGUAGUUACACAAAUGUCCUAAAAGGACAAAGUCUGCCUAUAUAGCAUGUGUUUUCACAGAGGUGAUACAAAUUUCAAAAUAAUUGCUAUGGCAGAAUCUGUAGUUUAUGCAUUAAAGCAAUUCUGUUUCCUGGCUGUAUUAAUAACCACAAAAUGCACCCUCUUGAUUCUCUACAUUCCACUUUAAUUGUCUGUGAAAAUGAAAUUUCUUUUAUGCGAUGCUUGUAAAUACUAUAAAUAUUGGUCAGCAGUGCAGUUUUGUGAGAAAUGUCUUUUUAAAAAAUCAAGUACCAUUUAUUUUCAUAUUAAGGUAGACAAUACUUAUUUUUAAAUGAAGGCUACAUUAGCAGGAGCGUGCUUGAUUUGAGCCUAGUGUCAAACCUAGAGCCUGUUUUGAUCAGCAGUGAUCAGUCUUGUGAAGUGCUUUUAAGACUGUACUUCAGUACCCACUUCCGUGGUAAUUAGCUUCAUUGGACCGAACAGCUUUCACUACAUAGAAAAGGGUCCUGAAAAAGACCAUAUCUGAGUUUUUGUGUUCUUCUCACAAUAAUCUGUAACAGCUGAAAAGUGAAAAUGAAACGAUGUAGUCAACGUUCAAGUAAAGGUAGAGAUUUUGUACGUCUUCUAGAAAAUUAUAUUCUUUUAUUUCUAGGGUCUGACUUGCAAUCUUUAAAGUGGAUCAGAAAAAAUGUCACAAAUAUGCAAAUGAAACCCAAAAUAUAAUGUGAAUUGAAUGUUUCUAAUACAUUUUGCAUACAACUUAGAAAAGAAAAACACCCACGUACAUGUUUAACUAGUAUGCAAUCUAUGCUGUGACAAAGCUGAAUAGAUUCCAAGACCUUUGAAAUCUGCCAGGUUGAACAUUUUGUCUUUGUUGACACUAAUGUGACAUGCCAUAAGAUGUUGCAGGCCUCAGGUUUCUGUUUAAAAAAAGAAAAAAGAACCUAAUCUCUUCUGCAACAGUGUUCAUGAUUCCACAGCACAGCAAGGUGUUACAUUAUAACUGCAUUGUACUAAGAGAAUAAUGACAUUUUGAGAGCAGCAGUAAACAGACAGUCAAUACAGACUACCAUUUCCCCAUGCUUUGGCAGUUGAUGUAUGAUAAUGUUCUCCUUCCCACUUGGUAAGAUGUAACAGAUGGCCAUGGUAUCUCAUAUCUUUUUUCAGCCAUCACCCAUAUCUCUAUUACAUAGGCCAGACUCUGAAAUUCUGGAAGUCCAUUCUGUCUUGCAGGACUCAUUGAAAAACAUUUGAGGUUAAGUUUUUGUUUUUGUGUGCAAAAUUAAAUGGGAGUUGCAACUAAAGCAGUGUUUCUUUGAUGUUUGUAGGGACACCCACAUAUAUAACAGAAAUGAUACCUAGAAACAAAACAGGCACAAAAAUCUAUAGUUUUCCUUUAGUGGCUAUAGCAGAUACAUCACAUCUUAAUACACAUACUGACAAUGGUCUCAGCUCAUUUAGCCCAAGCAAUGCCAUCCAUGCACAAGAGAGACAUAUCUGCAGAAGUGAUAUUGGGAUGCUGGUGGUGGUGGUAGUGGUGGUGAUGAUGGUGAUGAUGAUGAUGGGGGAACCUCUGGGGAGAUGCCCCCAGUAAAACCUAGAGAUGUUCAGUGGAAUGGUGACUGAAGAGGGUAGAUUGCCAUCUAGCCCUACACAGAAGCAACUUCUAUUUGAGUGAUCUAAGAUUCAGUUUUAGAUGGGUUGGAGAUAAGUGUGUGGAAAUGGAGUGGAGAAGAAGAACCACACUGUAGAUCUUCUGCAUUCACAGAGGGUGUUAGAUUAGAUGAAUUCGAAGAUGUAUUCUAAUGCUAUGAUUCUGUGCAUGACAUCCACCCAACUGUGGCCAAUGUAAGAAGUGGUACAAUAAAUUAGUGUGUCCAGAACCAUAGCAGACACAGAGUUGAGAUAUUUGAUAGACAAAUCUCCUUCACAGAACAUAAACUUGUAGGACACAUGAGUUCUUUGUUUUUGUUGCACUUUUGUAGUUCACUGUGCAACAAAGGAUCAUGAGCUGAGCACAGGACUCCAAUUUUGUGGCUAUUGCAAAUUACUCAUGUUGGCCUUUUGUCAAAAAGGAAUUGGGUGGAGGAUGGCUAUGUCCCAGAUCCACACUUAAGACCUUCAUGAACAAUUCUACAGCAAGAAGAGACUUACUAGAACCAGUGAUACUGGUGAAGUUCAUAAUAUCCUUGCUUGGAACAUGAUAUUUAAAGCAUUUAAUGUCUAUUUCCAAAAUAAGGAAAAAAUAAUGCUCUUUCUUUUUUCCUCCUUUUCCAUACAUAGAUUGCACCUUUUCAGUGAUUGCUCAAGAAGCCUGAUAAGUUCAUAGUUUUGUGAUACUGACCUAUUUUCCUUUGUUUUGUUUAAUUUUAGUUUAUAUACCUUUUUAUAGAUUUACUUGGGGGGUAAGUGAUUCUCUUCCUGUGUCGUUCAAAUUUGUAAAUGAAAUAAAGCACUAGCAAACUGAAAUGAAGGUGGCUGACUGUGUUUCUCAUUUAAAUAGGUAGAUUUGCUGGAAUCAUACCUCUACCAAAGCAACAUACCACACCUUUUGAUUCCAAAUGUCUUACCGUUCCAGUGUUUUGCCAGUAUAAGACCAACUAGCACCAAAAUAAGGAAAUAAAGAUCAGUUCUUUGUUCAGUACCUUUCAUUCCUGCAUUAAACAUUUUAAGGCUGCAAUCCUCUACUCACUUACCUUGGAUUAAGCCCAUGUAGGAUUUCUGAAUAAACCUGCAUUGGAUUGUACUGUAAAUUAUGCUACAUUGGGGCUGUUGGAUACCUGCUGUUUCUUAAGGUUUGUGAUUUUUUUUUUUUUUUUGCAGUACCUUAUCACUGAUAAUAUGAGCCUCACUAAUAUGUAACACUAAGUUCAAACUGAGGUUAACAGUACAACUUGUGGACAUUCAUGACCUGUCCAUAAGAUCAGACCGAGAGAGACCUAUGGACUGGGGUAACCUGGGUUUGGCUGCUUUUAAGUUUGGCUGCUACAAAACUGGGGUAAUGCCUGCCUUUCUCUAGUGAUCUAAUAUAGGACAGUGGAAUUGGCUGUUGAUGUGUUUUAAGCUCUGUGUUUCCUGCUUGAUCUUUAUAUUUCUAAAUAAACUCAAAGAUUACAAAAUGC